rnacentral:rRNA from 1 species
GAUGAACGCUGGCGGCGUGCCUAAUACAUGCAAGUCGAGCGAACAGACGAGGAGCUUGCUCCUCUGACGUUAGCGGCGGACGGGUGAGUAACACGUGGAUAACCUACCUAUAAGACUGGGAUAACUUCGGGAAACCGGAGCUAAUACCGGAUAAUAUAUUGAACCGCAUGGUUCAAUAGUGAAAUACGGUUUUGCUGUCACUUAUAGAUGGAUCCGCGCCGCAUUAGCUAGUUGGUAAGGUAACGGCUUACCAAGGCAACGAUGCGUAGCCGACCUGAGAGGGUGAUCGGCCACACUGGAACUGAAACACGGUCCAGACUCCUACGGGAGGCAGCAGUAGGGAAUCUUCCGCAAUGGGCGAAAGCAUGACGGAGCAACGCCGCGUGAGUGAUGAAGGUCUUCGGAUCGUAAAACUCUGUUAUUAGGGAAGAACAAAUGUGUAAGUAACUAUGCACGUAUUGACGGUACCUAAUCAGAAAGCAACGGCUAACUACGUG